GAUGAACGCUGGCGGCGUGCUUAACACAUGCAAGUCGAACGGUGAACGAGGGAGCUUGCUCCCUCCGGAUCAGUGGCGAACGGGUGAGUAACACGUGAGCAAUCUGCCCUGGACUCUGGGAUAAGCGUUGGAAACGACGUCUAAUACCGGAUACGAGGCGUGGGGGCAUCCCCAACGCCUGGAAAGAACUUCGGUCCAGGAUGAGCUCGCGGCCUAUCAGCUAGUUGGUGAGGUAACGGCUCACCAAGGCGACGACGGGUAGCCGGCCUGAGAGGGUGAGCGGCCACACUGGGACUGAGACACGGCCCAGACUCCUACGGGAGGCAGCAGUGGGGAAUAGUGCACAAUGGGCGCAAGCCUGAUGCAGCAACGCCGCGUGAGGGACGACGGCCUUCGGGUUGUAAACCUCUUUUAGCAGGGAAGAAGCGAAAGUGACGGUACCUGCAGAAAAAGCACCGGCUAACUACGUGCCAGCCGCCGCGGUAACAC
rnacentral:rRNA from 1 species